rnacentral:piRNA from 1 species
UGCAAAUCUGAGGUGACUCAAGUAUUGG